AUUGAACGCUGGCGGCAGGCCUAACACAUGCAAGUCGAACGGUAACAGGAAGAAGCUUGCUUCUUUGCUGACGAGUGGCGGACGGGUGAGUAAUGUCUGGGAAACUGCCUGAUGGAGGGGGAUAACUACUGGAAACGGUAGCUAAUACCGCAUAACGUCGCAAGACCAAAAAGGGGGACCUUCGGGCCUCUUGCCAUCGGAUGUGCCCAGAUGGGAUUAGCUAGUAGGUGGGGUAACGGCUCACCUAGGCGACGAUCCCUAGCUGGUCUGAGAGGAUGACCAGCCACACUGGAACUGAGACACGGUCCAGACUCCUACGGGAGGCAGCAGUGGGGAAUAUUGCACAAUGGGCGCAAGCCUGAUGCAGCCAUGCCGCGUGUAUGAAGAAGGCCUUCGGGUUGUAAAGUACUUUCAGCGGGGAGGAAGGGAGUAAAGUUAAUACCUUAGCUCAUUGACGUUACCCGCAGAAGAAGCACCGGCUAACUCCGUG
rnacentral:rRNA from 1 species